UGCUGCUGACUCAGAUGGAACCGGUCCCACAAGCACUCAGGAGGAUGUUUUCUGGGUUUGGUGUGGGAUCCUUCGGUGAAGGAGUCUGCACCGUCGUGUUGACAGUUUUGGCAACUGACUGUGAAAAAACGACUCCUGAACUUUACUACUUGUCUGUGGUGCUGGCAGUGAGCAGCUUGGUUUCUACAGUGCUUUUCUCAGGCCUGGGACUAAUUUGGCUGUGCAGUGUGACCUGUCCAAGACCAGACGCUAAACUAACAGCCUGAAGCUGGCAUCUGAGCCCUGCUGGUCUCCUGCCUCGCAGCCUGUCCCAGCAGCACUGCCACCUGGCAACUGCCAGCAAGCACAUGACCAUCGCCUACCUUGCUAUCCCCACAUGAAAUGGUCACCUGAGCAUCACAGCUGCAACAGGACACACAUCAAAACCAGUCCUUUGGAAGAACACUGCCUCGAAGUAUUAACGAGUACUGACAAUGGAUAAAAAGAAACAGUUCAACCAAAAUCACAGGACUGACAUCACAACCAA